rnacentral:lncRNA from 1 species
UAUAUUUAAUAGAGGAACAACUUGAUCCCCAUGUCUGCUUGAGUUUUUUUACUAUCUGGAAUUUGAGACAGCACCGUAGAUGUUGUAGAUCUACAUCUACAGUGCAGAAUACCACCUGUGAAAAUCUUAAUUCAUUAAGCAAAAUGUUAUCCUUCCAGUGUCUGAUUCAAUAGAAUAUCAGUGUCAUUCCCCACCCCCCAUACCCCCGGGAUGGUGCUUUAUUAAAAUUACAUUUCACUUAUGUUAUGGUAGAUUGUGUCUAUUAUCUACUCCAAACUUGGUAUAGAGGAAACACAUCAUCCAUUGUAAAUAGAAAUAAAUCCUAGUCUCAUCUGAAAAUUUAGUAUGAUUACUUAAUUUUAUUAGGAAUAUGGAAGGUAAAUUGAUAUAAUGAUCUAAUUCAUGAAUAAUAAUUUCUCAAAUAAAGAUUGUCUUUUUUUUUUUUUUUUUUUUGUCUUUUCUAGGGCUGCACCGCGGCAUAUGGAGGUUUCCAGGUUAGGGGUCCAACCUGACCUGUAGCCACCAGCUUAUGCCACAGCCACAGCAACACGGGAUCCAAGCUGAGUCUUUGACCUACACAGCUCACGGCAACGCUGGAUCCUUAACCCACUGAGCAAGGCCAGGGAUUGAACCCGCAACCUCAUGGUUCCUAGUUGGAUUCACUAACCACUGAGCCAUGACGGGAACUCCAAUUUCUUAAAUAAAGAUUGUAAUCCAGGCUUUCCUCUUCAUGUUUUAUGAGAUUAUAAUAAUGUCUAAGUUACUCCUUCUAGUACUUCAAUUCUUAAUGGACACCACAGUCAGGCUUAUCUUUCAGAAAUGCUUCUCCUAAUAUGUCUUUUCUAUGCUCAAAUCCUUGAAAACCUCUCCCUUAGGAGAGGUAAACUGGACUGCUUUGCAUCCUUGCAGUGCUUAGCUUAGAGCUUUGCAGAGCUACUCAGUGGUUGGUGAUUAACUGGGAGAUAUCAGCCUGAAGGUGAUUUUCACCCUGGCCUACUAAGCUCUGCUUUUAGCCAUAUCUUGUUAAAUUCAUGUAUCAACGAUAUGUAUGAAUACAUAGAAUGUAUGCUUAUCAGAUUUGUAAAUGACCUGAGGCUGAGAUAGAUUAGCAAAUAUAUUAGAUAACAGAAUCAAAAUCUGAAGACAUUUUGACAAGCUUCCUUUAACAGAAUGAAAUUUAAUAGAGUUAAAAGUAAAAGGCUAUCUUAAACAACAACAAAACAACAAAGCCCUCCCUACUGAGCAACUGCAUAUAGAGGAUUCUCAGAAAGGAUCAUCUGUGAUCUGGCAGUCCCAGAGGCCAAUGGAGUAAUAGACUUAUUUGGAAAAAGAAGAAUGGACCCCAUUGACAUUGGUCAGACCUCAUCCAAAGUUUUGUGUGCGACUCUGGAUUCUCUAUUUUCAGAGAGAUACAAACAAAUUGGAAUGUAGUUAGAAAAUGUCAAAGGGCCUUAAUGAGUCUGAGGAAAAAAUUUUUUUUUUUAAUGAGUCUGAGGAAUACUUUGUUAACUAACCUGGAAAAAUGGGAUUACUUUGUCAAGUUAGUAGUGAUACUAGUUAGGAUAAAAAUAUAUCGGAUCCUUGAAUUUUAAAAAAUGUUGCACGCGCCUAGCAGGCACUGUAUACUUCUUUGAGUAGAAUAUUUAUUCAUGAGUGUGGCAAUUUUUUCUCUUAAAAGAGGUGACCGGGAAAGGUGAUGGUUAGGAGCCCUGUGGAAUGACCAAACUGUGCACAUGUGGGAACACAUGUCUUCUGCUUCUCGUGGUCCUGAGGGAGAUGCGAGGAGAUAAAACAUGUUCUGUCCUGCAGGCUUUCCAAAACACCCAGAGAGCUAGAACAGCUAAGAGGAAAGGAAGAAGUGAGAAAACAGAGAAUAGAGGGAGACAAAGUAGAGUUAAUGGAGAGUCUGAUAGAAUAAGAUAGGACGGAAGAGAAAGGAGAGACAAGAAAGACAUACUGAGCCCCAUGUAGUAUAGUCUGGGGAAGAAUACACCAUAAUCUUAUGAAGAGAUUUAUGAACGUGUGGCAUGUGGUGUAGCGAUGACCAGUGCAAAGCUGCAGAUGUCUUAAGUAAGGAUUCCUUUAAGAAAUCAAAUGAAUCAUGUUCUCUCCUCCUCAAGUUUCUGCAUCCUCUCCUCCCUGGCUUUUUUUUUUUUUUUUUUUUCCUAUGAAAAGGCCAGAUACUCAUCAGACUAUGAUGUGCUAUCACAUAUUUUUAAAGGCCUACCCAUAUUUUUGAUUGGUGGCCUUCAGAAUGCUUUCCCACUGCAGUUGAGAACUGUUGAGAAGCUGCUGUACAUGAUACACCAUGGGGCUUUCGUGUCACUUUUAGAGUUCCAGGACUUCAACUUCUGUGAGACACUUUCCCUCCAUGUCAUACAUCUGCAAAUUUAAAUUCAAGAAAACCCUUUCAAAACAGUGAAAUUAAGUAAUAAUUGAAGUGGAUACUAGCUUCUUCAGCACAAAAGGAUUUAUUUUGGUAUAUUUUUAGGGUUUGGUACAACACAUUGAUACAAAAUACUAGCAUGAGAGAAAAAAAAUUGAUAGUGUAAAGGAUGUGUGAUGGGAGAAAAGAACAAAGGGCUUUUCUCCAAUCAAAUGCAAAUGAAAAUGACCCGCAAGAUUCUGAAAACAGUCUCUCUCCUGACAAUGAACAUUUUCAUGCAGUGAAAUCCAUUUUUGAGACUCAUUAGCAAGCGCUGUGAUCUUGCUUAUUUUCUAUAGAAGCGUCUGGUUAUUUCAAAUUGAUUAGGAGACCUCUGAUGUGGGAGACCGAAUCACUGAACUACCCCAGGUAUUUCUGUAAUUGGUUAUCAUGCUUAAUUACGAAUGUUUCAGCACAACCAAUUUAUUCUGGAGCAGAUUUUCCUUGCCUUUCCACUGCUGUUCCUGCUGGUGCUGUUUUCUGUUUUUAGAGAGAGAAGGGAAUAAAAGGGAGGGAGGGAAAGGGGGGGGGUAGACGGAGAGAACACAAAUUCACCUUCUCUUGUGGCUUUUUUUGUUGUUGUUGCUCUAAAAAAGGCAGAUUAAUGGAUUAAUGGAUUCAUUCAAGUAUUUAUCAAUAGCAGUAGUUGAAAAUGAAAGAAAUGGAAAUAGAAACAUGUAUGUAUGAGUUUGUAGUGAGGUCACUCAUUGCAAACUGCUACCAAUCUUUUCUGGUUCUGUUAUUUCCCUUAAACGGUGCUGAGAGCUGAAGUUUAGCUCCUUCAUUUCUCACCCUGCCACAGUGCUGGCUGACCUUCAUGUAUUCAGUCCACUUGCUCCUGAGCUCAUCAGAAAUAAAUGGGCUAGAAUAGAACUGAAUAUGGCUCCACAUCGUGCUGUUCAUUGUCCGAUGAUCCUGAAGACCCACAGAAGUAGCUAGUUGUGCUGGUGUCUCAGCUGCAGAUGGGGCACACAUUACAUUCUCCACAAUCUCUCAGCUAUAGCCCCAGGCAUUCCAGAGUCAAAUAAUGGGGGGCAGGACUCUAGUCAGGGCAUGAGCAUCAUGCCUCCUGCCUCAGCCCUUCUGUGAGGAUCUGUGUGAACUUUGCAGCACCAUAGAGAGAUGGCAGGACUCUGAGUUUAACAUCUUAUGAUUAGAAUGUGAUUUAAAAAAAUGUGGGCAUUUUUUGCAGACUUUCCCUGCUGGAGAUUGCACAUCACCUGGAGCUUCGUAUUAAGAAGUGUCUUUUAUGACAGAUACUCUUGGUAUAAGAGCAAAACAUGCAUUACCUGAUGCUAACUAUGGUUUCUGUCUAGGACUUUCAAAUUUAAGGAGUGUUAUUUAUUAUCUUAAAAGUUAAAGUAGGAGUUUCCAUUGUGGCUCAGUGGUUAAUGAACUCUGUUAGUGUCCAUGAGGACAUGGGUUCGAUCCCUGGCCUCGCACAGUGGGCUAAAGAUCCAGCAUUGCUGUGAGCUGCAGUGUAAGUUGCAGAUGCGGCUCAGAUCCAGUGUUGCUGUGGCUAUGGCAUAGGCCAGGGUGUACAGCUCCAAUUCGACUCCUAGCCUGGGAACUUCCAUAUGCCGCAAAUGCGGCCU